rnacentral:lncRNA from 10 species
UUAAAACAAGAACUGGUUGACUCCUGGAACAUUCUCGGGUAGUCAGUAGAACACAGGACAGCCGCAUGUAAACCCUUACAUGUGAACACGGGCACACACACCAUGCCAGGUCAAGGAAGGCGUGACUCCCCAGCUGUUGUCCCCAGUAUGCUGCUGCUGCUCCUGUUGCUGCUGCUGCUACAGCUCCAGGCCCUUGCUCUGGUGCCACUGGAGCAAAAUCUCUCCCCAAGACCCCGGGUGAAGAGUGCUGCUCCAACACAACAACCAGUCACCUGCUUGCUGAGGGUUGGUUGUCAUGCUCCUGCUUGGCCCACAAGGUGACUUCCAGGACCUCAUCCUGAAUGUAGUUGGGAUGAGAAGAUGAUGUGACCUCCUGGUCUCCAGGCAUCCAUGACCUAACAGACUGCACUGUGUCAGGAUUCAGCUAUGCCUGGUGCAGCUGGACUAGGUCCCACUCUGGGUCUUAUAAGGAAGGAUCGACUUGUGUGUGGCCUCCAAUGCAGUUUCACUUGUCUUCAAAGCCCUCCGCAGAAU